AUAAAGGUUUUGACUGAGAUUCAGUAGAAUCAUCUUUCCCUGUCCAAGAGAGCUGACGGUUGGUGCGAGUCAGUACAAAGAGAUAUUCGAAUUACCCUCACGAACCGCUUUUACGAAAAGGAGCAUGCAUGCUGUUCUGAUUAGUGAAAGAACGGAUCUGUCCGUUAUCAGUGUAAGUGAAAAGACGUGAUGUAUUGUCUUUUAAGCAGGGUGGUACCGCGAUAUAUAUCGUCCCUUCG
rnacentral:ncRNA from 1 species